GCCUACGGGGGGCAGCAGUGAGGGAUAUUGGACAAUGGGGGAAACCCUGAUGCAGCGACGCCGCGUGAGUGAAGAAGUAUUUCGGUAUGUAAAGCUCUAUCAGCAGGGAAGAAAAAAGACGGUACCUGACUAAGAAGCCCCGGCUAACUACGUGCCAGCAGCCGCGGUAAUACGUAGGGGGCAAGCGUUAUCCGGAUUUACUGGGUGUAAAGGGAGCGUAGACGGCAAUACAAGUCGGAAGUGACAUACCCGGGCUCAAC
rnacentral:rRNA from 1 species